CUCUUCCGUCUUCUCUUCUUCUAUCAUCCUCUGUCUCUUUCGUCUUCUCUUCUUCUCCCAUCCUUUCUCUCUUCCUUCUGUUUUCUCUUCUUCUCCUUUAACUUAUUUCUAUUGUUUUAAUUUGUUGGAAAUUUUGUAAUACCAGUGUGCACGUCAUGGAUUCAUAGGAGGAAAUCUCACGCUCCAUAUCGAACAAACACAUCAAGGAUACCUAUAAUAGCUUGAAACAUACAAGAAAUACAGUGAGAAUAUGCUUUCCAUGGCUGAUAUUGUUACUCCAAAUGUUAAAGAGGCGGUAGCUUUACUUGGUGAUGGACCAAUGAAGUUAGUUUCUGACUUGCGUACUACUGCAUAAUUGUUACAUGACUUGGGCGUUAGGUUUGUUGCUACUCUGAAAACAUAAACUGAGUCCCUUAAAAGUAAGUAACAAUUAAGAAAAUUGUCAUGGUUUUAUAAUAAACUGAAUAUUUGGCUCUGUUUAACUUUUGUUA